UACGUAGGGCGCAAGCGUUGUCCGGAAUUAUUGGGCGUAAAGAGCUCGUAGGCGGCUUGUCGCGUCGGAUGUGAAAGCCCGGGGCUUAACUCCGGGUCUGCAUUCGAUACGGGCAGGCGUAGAGUUCGGUAGGGGAGAUCGGAAUUCCUGGUGUAGCGGUGAAAUGCGCAGAUAUCAGGAGGAACACCGGUGGCGAAGGCGGGUCUCUGGGCCGACUACUGACGCUGAGAAGCGAAAGCUGGGGAGCGAACAGG
rnacentral:rRNA from 1 species